UUUCAUUAUAAUCUAAUGUGAUAUUAUAUUGUGGAAAUUACAUAAAACCCUACCUCUGAAUAUCUCAUUUCAAAAAUCGUAUGCCAAGUUUUAAGUUUAUUUAUACAAAUAUUAAUAAUAAUCUUAUUAAAAAAAAAUUUGUAUUACAACUCCACGUCUCUACCCAAACCUCAUUCCAACCCAAACCCUACCCUAAAUCAUUUUUCACUUCCCUCUAUUCACGGUAUCCAUACUCUCUGUCUACCACCGCCAUGAGAAGCAUCGUGAGAAACCCACCAUCGGAAGCUACAGCAGCAGCAUCGUGAGAAGUCACAGAAGCAACGUCCAUAACGGGGCGACAACAGUGAUGUCGUAUUCGGCGUUGCUGCAGCAAUUGCGAGCGGUGCUGUGCUCAUCCCGUAGUAAUUUUGGGACUUUUUUGUGGAUGGUGUUUGGUGGUGGAUGUGGUUUGGUAGUUGCGUGGUGGUGGCAAUCUGAGCUGUCGAAAUCGUCAAAGCCGGUGGCGGAGGUGGCUAUGAUAGUUUUUGGCGGUGGCUUAGAUCUGGUGGUGGCGGCGGCUGCUCUGUUGUGUUGUGGUGGCUCUGUUUAAGUGAUUAAAGCAAUUCAAUUUUACAGACUCGGAAAAGAAAUAUUUCCGGACAACAACGCUACUAAAUAAAUAUUUCCAUUUUUGGACUUUUCUGUCAAUUUCUGUUAGGGUGUGUUCGAUUGCAAUUUGCAAGUAUGAGAUUUACAUGGAAAGAAAAUAAAUUUUAGGUAAUUGAAUUGUUUAGAAAUUAUUUGCAUGUAAAUUGUCAAAUAAAUAUGCUUGAUGAUUUUAUUUUCAACCCAAAAAGUGUUAACUUGUCUAUUUUUUAUUGUUAGGUAGAUGAGAAAGAGAGACG
rnacentral:lncRNA from 1 species